rnacentral:rRNA from 1 species
GGGAAUAUUGGACAAUGGGCGCAAGCCUGAUCCAGCCAUGCCGCGUGAGUGAUGACGGCCUUAGGGUUGUAAAGCUCUUUCGCACGCGACGAUAAUGACGGUAGCGUGAGAAGAAGCCCCGGCUAACUUCGUGCCAGCAGCCGCGGUAAUACGAAGGGGGCUAGCGUUGUUCGGAAUUACUGGGCGUAAAGCGCGUGUAGGCGGGCUUUUAAGUCAGGGGUGAAAUGCCGAGGCUCAACCUCGGAACUGCCUCUGAUACUGGAAGUCUUGAGUCCGGAAGAGGUGAGUGGAACUGCGAGUGUAGAGGUGAAAUUCGUAGAUAUUCGCAAGAACACCAGUGGCGAAGGCGGCUCACUGGUCCGGAACUUACGCUGAGACGCGAAAGCGUGGGGAGCAAA